AUGUUGCCGCCGCCUCCACCCUCGUUGCCUGUGGGCUUCAAGCCGGUUGACGUCCCGCCGCCAUCCCUAUCGUCUUCCCGGUCAGAUCCGGAUCGGGACCUCCUGCUUCCGCCGCCGCAGACGACGACGCUGGACCUGCCCACCCAGCUUCGUGCCGUGCCCAUGGCGGUGCUGGUGAUGCCUCCGUGCGAGCUCGUAGCGCCCACAUCACCGAAGCUCCCCAUGCCCGCGGCUACCGGCAACUGCCCAGCUCCGGCGCCGGCCACCGCGACACCGACGCCACCCAUGCCCGCGGCAGCUGGUGGCUGCCCCGCUCCGUCGACGACGGCUGCUGCUGUCGACAUCCUGGUCCCCGUGGCGGCUCCGUCCCUCCUCCAGCCGGCCGCGCCCGGGAGCUCGCGUCCAUCGCCACCGAGCUCGCUCCCCUCCGAGCCAGCGCCCGUGGUCCCUCCCGCAUCGACGUUCGCCGCCGCCGCACUAGCCGCGGCUGCACUUGCUUGCCGCAGAUCGGACCCGGCCAUCGGAGGGCAGAAGGCUCGUUCCCAGGAGGGCCUGGAUACCUUUGCUUCGCCGCCUGCUGGACGCCCUUGCCUGCCCGGCGGCCAACCUCCUGCACUCGUUGCUCCUGGUUGGGGGGAUUGGCGUGGAUGCUUCCAUCGUGAUGAGGCGGCUGAUGUUCUCGAGCGUGAGCAAGGGGGAUGGCAGACUGUCUCGAAGGGGCGCUGCUCGCCGCCUCCUGCAGCUUUUGGUCGCCCUUCCAUCAAUGUGCGGCGUUCCCCUCCGACGUGGCUGAGAGACAGGUGUUUCCGGUGUCUCCGUCGAGGUCAUCGCGCAUACUCCUGCAGGGAUCCAAUCCGAUGCACUGACUGCCUUCGAUCUGGACAUAUCGCUCGCUUCUGUCGUGCUAAGAAGCCUGUCCACCAAGCUUCGCCGCUCCAAUGUCAUGCUCCAUCGGCUGCUUCCACCGGUGAUGUCUCCAUGAUAGAUGUGCAGAUCCCGUCUAUCUCGGCUGAGCAUGUCGGGUUGGUGGAGGAGACCAAGAUGCUUCGCACUGAGCUUCACGACUGCCUUGCGCGUGCCGGCAGUGUUUUGGGGAGGGCGGAGGCUGCUCUUGCCAAACUAGAGGUUGUCUCUGUCGAUGGGGAAGGUGGCAUGUAUGGAGAUCUCUCCCCUCGUGCUACAGUAUGUCAGUUGCCGCUGCCUGUCAUGCCGAUUCCUUCAGGGAGUGAACUCAUUGUUGAGGUCGUGACUCCGGUGCUGCGGAUUAUGUCUGAGCUUCAGAAGCUUUGUGGGGAGCCCACUUUGCCUAUUUCGAUGGUGCUUCCCGAGGAGAUAGGGUCUCUUGGAGGGGACUUGGCGAUGCCGACUGCGACCUCAUCGUUUUCAUUGGAGCCGAGUCAGCCGCUUGCCUUUGUGGACCUUGGAGGUUUGGCGGCUGCUGCUGCUCUCUCACCUGAGGUUGUUGGCCCGGUGGCGUCUGUUGGUGCUGAGUUUGAUGAGGUAGGUGCUUUGACACCUGUGUCUAAGGCGCCGAAGCCCGUCCAGUCUCUCAUCUUUGACCGCGACGCUAUGUUGGCACGUAUUGAUGAGGUGGUCUUCGCGAAAAAGCUUGGCCGCUUGCUCACCAGCUUGGAUGCAGCUUGUCCUGGGUCUGCCAAGACGAUUGCUUGCCUCCUAGCGGAGGAGGUUUCUACGGGCAAAAUAAAGAAGGUGAAGAAGGCUAUCAGGAACAUAGGCAAGAAGACUGACGUUAUUAGGAAGGCGUCCGCGACUGCUUAA
rnacentral:rRNA from 1 species